UACGUAGGGUGCAGGCGUUAAUCGGAAUUACUGGGCGUAAAGCGUGCGCAGGCGGUCUGCUAAGAGAGAUGUGAAAUCCCCGGGCUUAACCUGGGAACUGCGUUUCUAACUGGCAGGCUUGAGUGUGGCAGAGGGGGGUGGAAUUCCACGUGUAGCAGUGAAAUUCGUAGAUAUUCGGAGGAACACCAGUGGCGAAGGCGGCUAUCUGGACCGACAUUGACGCUGAGGCGCGAAAGCGUGGGGAGCAAACAGGG
rnacentral:rRNA from 1 species